UAUAAGAUGGCUAAGAUCCGGGAGAGGAAGACGAGAGAUAUUGGCCAAGUCAAAUGCAUCAAGGACGGAGCAGGCCAACUCUUGGUGAAGGACGAAGAGAUUAAGCAUAGAUGGCGGGAGUACUUCGACAAGCUGUUCAAUGGGGAGAAUGAGAGUUCUACCAUUGAACUGAAUGACUCCUUUGAUGAGACCAGCAUGCGUUUUGUGCGGCGCAUCCAGGAGUCUGAGGUGAAGGAGGCUUUAAAAAGGAUGAAAGGAGGCAAGGCGAUGGGCCCUGAUUGUAUCCCCAUUGAGGUGUGGAAAGGUCUCGGGGACGUAGCGAUAGUAUGGCUAACCAAGCUUUUCAACCUCAUUUUUUGGGCAAACAAGAUGCCAGAAGAAUGGAGACGGAGUAUAUUAGUACCGAUCUUCAAGAACAAGGGGGAUGUUCAGAGUUGUACUAAUUACCGUGGAAUUAAGCUGAUGAGCCAUACAAUGAAGCUAUGGGAGAGAGUCAUUGAGCACCGCUUAAGAAGAAUGACAAGCGUGACCAAAAAUCAGUUUGGUUUCAUGCCUGGGAGGUCGACCAUGGAAGCCAUUUUCUUGGUACGACAACUUAUGGAGAGAUAUAGGGAGCAUAAGAAGGACUUGCAUAUGGUGUUCAUUGACUUGGAGAAGGCCUAUGAUAAGAUACCGCGGAAUGUCAUGUGGUGGGCCUUGGAGAAACACAAAGUCCCAGCAAAGUACAUUACCCUCAUCAAGGACAUGUACAAUAAUGUUGUGACAAGUGUUCGAACAAGUGAUGUCGACACCGAUGACUUCCCGAUUAAGAUAGGACUGCAUCAGGGGUCAGCUUUGAGCCCUUAUCUUUUUGCAUUGGUGAUGGAUAAGGUCACAAGGGGUAUACAAGGAGAUAUCCCAUGGUGUAUGCUCUUUGCGGAUGAUGUGGUGCUAGUUGACGAUAGUCGGAUGGGGGUAAAUAGGAAGUUAGAGUUAUGGAGACAAGCCUUGGAAUCGAAAGGGUUUAGGCUUAGUAGAACUAAAACCGAGUACAUGAUGUGCGGUUUCAGUACUACUAGCUGUGAGGAGGAGGAGGUUAGCCUUGAUGGCCAGGUGGUACCUCUGAAGGACACCUUUCGGUAUUUGGGGUCAAUGUUGCAGGAUGAUGGGGGUAUUGAUGAAGAUGUGAACCAUCGAAUCAAAGCCGGAUGGAUG
rnacentral:rRNA from 1 species